UACGGGGGGGGCAAGCGUUGUUCGGAAUUACUGGGCGUAAAGGGCUCGUAGGUGGCCAACUAAGUCAGACGUGAAAGCCCCGGGCUUAACCUGGGAAUGGCAUUUGGGACUGCAAGGCUUGAGUGCGGCAGAGGAGACUGGAAUUCCUGGUGUAGCAGUGAAAUGCGUAGAUAUCAGGAGGAAUACCGAUGGCGAAGGCAGGUCUCUGGGCUGACACUGACGCUCAUGCACGAAAGCGUGGGGAGCAAACAGG
rnacentral:rRNA from 1 species